CAUAUCACGUUGAAACAGCGGUUCUCGUUCAAUCAUUAAAGUUAAGUAAUGUCGAGCCUAGUCAGUACUUAGAUGGGUGACCACUAGGGAAUAACAGGUGUUGUAAG